CGGAGGAAAAGAAACCAACAGGGAUUGCCCUAGUAACGGCGAGUGAAGCGGCAACAGCUCAAAUUUGAAAUCUGGUCCUCGCGGCCCGAGUUGUAAUUUGUAGAGGAUGCUUUUGGACAGGUGCCUUCUGAGUUCCCUGGAACGGGACGCCAGAGAGGGUGAGAGCCCCGUAUAGUCGGACACCUAGCCUCUGUAAAGCUCCUUCGACGAGUCGAGUAGUUUGGGAAUGCUGCUCAAAAUGGGAGGUAUAUCUCUUCUAAAGCUAAAUAUAGGCCAGAGACCGAUAGCGCACAAGUAGAGUGAUCGAAAGAUGAAAAGCACUUUGAAAAGAGGGUUAAAUAGCACGUGAAAUUGUUGAAAGGGAAGCGCUUGUGACCAGACUUGUGCCGGGCUGAUCAUCCAGUGUUCUCACUGGUGCACUCGACCCGGCUCAGGCCAGCGUCGGUUCUCGCGGGGGGAUAAAAGCUUCGGGAACGUGGCUCCUCCGGGAGUGUUAUAGCCCGUUGUUUAAUACCUCCGCGGGGACCGAGGUUCGCGCUCUGCAAGGACGCUGGCAUAAUGGUCAUCAGCGACCCGUCUUAA
rnacentral:rRNA from 1 species